rnacentral:rRNA from 1 species
GAUGAACGCUGGCGGCGUGCUUAACACAUGCAAGUCGAACGGUGAAGCAGGAGCUUGCUCUUGUGGAUCAGUGGCGAACGGGUGAGUAACACGUGAGCAACCUGCCCCUGGCUCUGGGUUAAGCGCUGGAAACGGCGUCUAAUACUGGAUAUGUGAUGUGACCGCAUGGUCUGCAUCUGGAAAGAAUUUCGGUUGGGGAUGGGCGCGCGGCCUAUCAGCUUGUUGGUGAGGUAAUGGCUCACCAAGGCGUCGACGGGUAGCCGUCCUGAGGGGGGGACCGGCCACACUGGGACUGCGACACGGCCCAGACUCCUAAGGGAUGCAGCAGGGGGGAAUAUUGCACAAUGGGGGGAAGCCUGAUGCAGCAACGCGGCGUGAGGGAUGACGGCCUUCGGGUUGUAAACCUCUUUUAGCAGGGAAGAAGCGAAAGUGACGGUACCUGCAGAAAAAGCACCGGCUAACUACGUGCCAGCAGCCGCCGUAA